AACGAACGCUGGCGGCAUGCCUAACACAUGCAAGUCGAACGAGACCUUCGGGUCUAGUGGCGCACGGGUGCGUAACGCGUGGGAACCUGCCCUUAGGUUCGGAAUAACUCCCCGAAAGGGGUGCUAAUACCGGAUAAUGUCUUCGGACCAAAGAUUUAUCGCCUUUGGAUGGGCCCGCGUUGGAUUAGCUAGUUGGUAGGGUAAAAGCCUACCAAGGCGACGAUCCAUAGCUGGUCUGAGAGGAUGAUCAGCCACACUGGGACUGAGACACGGCCCAGACUCCUACGGGAGGCAGCAGUGGGGAAUAUUGGACAAUGGGCGAAAGCCUGAUCCAGCAAUGCCGCGUGGGUGAUGAAGGCCUUAGGGUUGUAAAGCUCUUUUACCCGGGAUGAUAAUGACAGUACCGGGAGAAUAAGCUCCGACUAACUCCGUG
rnacentral:rRNA from 1 species